CCUACGGGGGGCAGCAGUGAGGAAUAUUGGUCAAUGGGCGCAAGCCUGAACCAGCCAAGUCGCGUGAGGGAUGACGGUCCUAUGGAUUGUAAACCUCUUUUGUCGGGGAGCAAGGCCCGCCACGUGUGGCGGGAAGGAGAGUACCCGAAGAAAAAGCAUCGGCUAACUCCGUGCCAGCAGCCGCGGUAAUACGAAGGAUGCGAGCGUUAUCCGGAUUUAUUGGGUUUAAAGGGUGCGGAGGCGGAAGGUUAGGUCAGUGGUCAAAUGUCGGUGCCCAACACCGGACUGCCGUUGAAACUGGUCGUCUUGAGUGAGCGAGAAGUAUGUGGAAUGCGUGGUGUAGCGGUGAAAUGCAUAGAUAUCACGCAGAACUCCGAUUGCGAAGGCAGCAUACCGGCGCUCAACUGACGCUGAGGCACGAAAGCGUGGGGAUCGAACAGGAUUAGAUACCCGUGUAGUC
rnacentral:rRNA from 1 species